rnacentral:lncRNA from 1 species
UGUUUCCGUUCGCAAAGUUUGAGAAGUCCAAAGUCUAGACACGGAACUUGGAUACAGUUUUCGGGCCAAGAUACAUGGAUCAGAAACUCUCUCCCCAUAGCCUUGCUGGGCAGUGUUGUGAUUUCUCAAAGAGAAAGAGGUCAUUCCCCUGAAAUGUGAAUGUGCAAAUUCACACUUCGACAAAUAUACAACAUAAACUCUACUUACAACAGAACAACGAUUACCAUAUUAUAGUUACAACCACAAAAGUACGCCAAGACAUUUAUUUUUCUUAUUGUUGUAUAUCAGCCCAGGUAAAAAACUGGGAACAUGAUGUAAUGUCCAACACACACUACAGGUAACACUUCCCUGGAGGUAUUUUGAAUACCACAUAUGUGCCGCAGGCAGUGUUGAUGCUGUUUGAGAAGCCACUGUGCCAAGUGCUCGUCAUAUGCAGCGCCUCACAUGCGUGACCUUGUCGAAGCUUGGUGAGCCGUCCGUGGC